rnacentral:rRNA from 1 species
UACGGGGGGGGCAAGCGUUGUUCGGAAUUACUGGGCGUAAAGGGCUCGUAGGCGGCCAACUAAGUCAGACGUGAAAUCCCUCGGCUUAACCGGGGAACUGCAUCUGAUACUGGAUGGCUUGAGAUUGGGAGAGGGAUGCGGAAUUCCAGGUGUAGCGGUGAAAUGCGUAGAUAUCUGGAGGAACACCGGUGGCGAAGGCGGCAUCCUGGACCAACACUGACGCUGAGGAGCGAAAGCCAGGGAGCAAAGCGGG